rnacentral:misc_RNA from 1 species
UUUUGGACAAAUGGUUUCAUUCUCAGGGGUAACUAGUUGAAUCCUACUUUUAUUAUUGCCUUGUGAUUUUCAUCACUUUCUUUUUUGUUUUUUUGUUAAGUUAUUUGAGUUCUUCAAAGCUGGGAUAGCAACGGGUUGGAUUUUUGCAAUAAGGGUUCAGGUAUUAUAUAAUUGGAUUUGGUACCAGUUCAGAUUUGAAGAUUUGAAGUUUAAUAUCUGUGAUGAGUUAACCUCAGCCUUGUUCCCCCUAAUAUUGCAUCUUUUAAUUUUUCAAAUUCGUAAUUGAUUCUUAGGGUUGCACAGUGAUGCUAUCUAUUUCUUCUUUUUAAUUGUUGGCAGGUAAUCAUUUACAACUAUCUAGAGGAGCCAUAAACUUCUGCUCAGCUUCCUUUUUAAUCCGUGCGCAUUACUCAGUCGAUAAUGAAAUAAGUGAAAGGAGGAUUUUGGACAAAUGAUUUCAUUAUCAGAGUUACUUUCAGGUACCCAACAAUAUCACAAGUGUCAAAUGGGUCUGCUUCUCAUUUGGCUGAUGGUAUAUUGUCUGUCAUCCAUUCCACCUUUGAUGAGAUUCAAGGCUCAGAUUAUUGUUGGUUAAAUAAGGUUAAGGAAAUAAAGAUUGGUUCAAGAAAGAUGGAACCUUUUUGGUCCUUGCCGGACAAUUCUUUGAGAAUUCUGAAAUAGUUAUCAUGCUUGAAAAGAUCAAGUCACUUCAGCAGAAAUAUCCUGAGCUGUGUUAUGGGCUUUCAUGUUGGAAGUUCUGUUGGAUUUGCCACUGUUUAAGCUUACCUUGUUCAAUUGACACUGGCGGAGUACAUUAUGUUCCCUAUUCUAUUGUCAAACAAGAGCCUUUUAGGGGUGAGAGAUUGGAACUCAAAACAGAGAAGAAAGGUGAGAUGAGAAAAGAAAAGAAUGAGAUGAGAAGAGA